rnacentral:rRNA from 1 species
UACGGAGGGUGCAAGCGUUGUCCGGAUUUAUUGGGUUUAAAGGGUGCGUAGGCGGCCCCUUAAGUCAGCGGUGAAAGCCCGGGGCUCAACCCCGGAACCGCCGUUGAUACUGGGGGGCUUGAGUAUGGACGAGGUUGGCGGAAUUGAGGGUGUAGCGGUGAAAUGCUUAGAUACCCUCAAGAACACCGAUUGCGUAGGCAGCUCGCUAGGCCGAAACUGACGCUGAGGCACGAAAGCGUGGGGAGCGAACAGG